AUUGAACGCUGGCGGCAGGCCUAACACAUGCAAGUCGAACGAGUGGCGGACGGGUGAGUAAUGUCUGGGAAACUGCCCGAUGGAGGGGGAUAACUCCUGGAACCGGUAGCUAAUACCGCAUACCAUCGGAUGUGCCCAGAUGGGAUUAGCUUGUAGGUGAGGUAACGGCUCGCCUAGGCGACGAUCCCUAGCUGGUCUGAGAGGAUGACCAGCAGCACUGGAACGGAGAGACGGUCCCGAUUCCGACGGGAGGCAGCAGGGGGGAAUAGGGCAUAAUGGGCGCAAGCCUGAUGCAGCCAUGCCGCGUGUAUGAAGAAGGCCUUCGGGUUGUAAAGUACUUUCAGCGGGGAGGCGUUACCCGCAGAAGAAGCACCGGCUAACUCCGUGCCAGCAGCCGCGGUAAUUC
rnacentral:rRNA from 1 species